rnacentral:lncRNA from 1 species
CAGCUCAGCACCAGCCUCUUCAGGGACACGGGCAGCCCCCGCCGCCAGCACCAGCACCUCCAGCCCGCUGGCGAGAGCAGCGACCACGACUACGCCCUGCCCAGCCCCCGGCCCCGCGGCCUGGAGGAGGCGGCCGUGGGGACUGAGGCGGAGGAGGAGUGGGCGGCCCCCGGCGGGAUCUGCCUGCACGUGGACCGGGAUCAGUUAUACAUUACUAUUAAAACCUCUCUGACAGUUUCUCUUUUAGGUGCUUGCCCUGCCAGGCUCCGUUGUGUAGGGGUUAAAGAACAGUCGUUUUCCACCUCGCAACCUGUGGAUUCAGCUGUGUUGGGGCAGAAGAGACGGGACCAGCUGCUGGCCACAUUUCCUGCUUUAUUUUAAAAGAGCUUUGCAGCAGGAAAAAACAAAUCAGUGCUUCUGCAAUCUGUAGAUGCCUGGAGAGAUGAUACCAGAGGAAGUGCAAGAAACUCUGUUCUAAAGCUUGGCAUCUCUUUGGACUUCCAGAUUAUCAGAUUUCUCAUUCCAUUUGUCAAAACUAUUAUCAGUUUUCCCUGUGAAACAGAGGAAUCUUUUGCAAAACACAAAGGCCUUUUGUACAUUUACUGAUUUUUAAAAUUCCGUGUUUUCUAGAGCUUUUAAAGAGGUUUUCUGCUGAAAUCAGCAAUGUUCUGGUUAUUUUUACUAUUUACUAUUAGACUGUAAAAUGUCUGAGGGAUAUGUUAGGUAUGGGAGCUGUUCAAAUGGACUCAGUUUAAAGAACACCCUGUACCAAAACUGCAUAUUGCCAGCUGCUGAUUCUACAGUGUUAUGCCUGGUUGAAGUGGGAUAUGUAGAUGUGGGGAAGUAAUUUCUGUGGCGAAAUGAUUCUGUGCUCAUUAGCAGGAGGAUGCCAAGAGCAGGACUAGGGCGUGUACCAGGAAGAUGGGCACAUCAUUUGCAGAGGGCUGUGGAAUAGAUUGUAAAGUUGAUA